rnacentral:ribozyme from 1 species
UGAUUAAGGCAGCAGGCCACAGCAGGAGCACUCACAUCACAGCCCUGUCAGAUUCCAGUGAAUCUGCAAAUUCUGCU